rnacentral:rRNA from 1 species
AUGAACGCUAGCUACAGGCUUAACACAUGCAAGUCGAGGGGCAGCAUGGUCUUAGCUUGCUAAGGCCGAUGGCGACCGGCGCACGGGUGAGUAACACGUAUCCAACCUGCCGUCUACUCUUGGACAGCCUUCUGAAAGGAAGAUUAAUACAAGAUGGCAUCAUGAGUCCGCAUGUUCACAUGAUUAAAGGUAUUCCGGUAGACGAUGGGGAUGCGUUCCAUUAAAUAGUAGGCGGGGUAACGGCCCACCUAGUCUUCGAUGGAUAGGGGUUCUGAGAGGAAGGUCCCCCACAUUGGAACUGAGACACGGUCCAAACUCCUACGGGAGGCAGCAGUGAGGAAUAUUGGUCAAUGGGCGAGAGCCUGAACCAGCCAAGUAGCGUGAAGGAUGACUGCCCUAUGGGUUGUAAACUUCUUUUAUAAAGGAAUAAAGUCGGGUAUGGAUACCCGUUUGCAUGUACUUUAUGAAUAAGGAUCGGCUAACUCCGUG